rnacentral:rRNA from 1 species
CAGGCCUAACACAUGCAAGUCGAACGGUCUCUUCGGAGAUAGUGGCGGACGGGUGAGUAACGCGUGAGAAUCUGCCUUCAGGAUGGGGACAACAGUGAGAAAUCGCUGCUAAAACCCAAUGUGCCGAGAGGUGAAAUAUUUAUAGCCUGAAGAGGAGCUCGCGUCCGAUUAGUUAGUUGGUGGGGUAAAAGCCUACCAAGGCAGCGAUCGGUAGCUGGUCUGAGAGGAUGAGCAGCCACACUGGGACUGAGACACGGCCCAGACUCCUACGGGAGGCAGCAGUGGGGAAUUUUCCGCAAUGGGCGAAAGCUGACGGAGCAAUACCGCGUGAGGGAGGAAGGUUUUUGGAUUGUAAACCUCUUUUUUAAAGGAAGAAGAAAGUGACGGUACUUUAAGAAUAAGCAUCGGCUAACUCCGUGCCAGCAGCCGCGGUAAUACGGAGGAUGCAAGCGUUAUCCGGAAUCAUUGGGCGUAAAGCGUCCGCAGGUGGUUAAUCAAGUCUGCUGUUAAAGACAGAAGCUCAACUUCUGGUCGGCAGUGGAAACUGGUGAACUAGAGUACGGUAGGGGUUGAGGGAAUUCCCAGUGUAGCGGUGAAAUGCGUAGAUAUUGGGAAGAACACCAGUGGCGAAGGCGCUCAACUGGGCCGUAACUGACACUCAGGGACGAAAGCUAGGGUAGCGAAAGGGAUUAGAUACCCCUGUAGUCUUAGCUGUAAACGAUCGAACACUAGGCGUUGCUUGUAUCGACCCGA